AUUUGCUAUGUUCUGGCCGUCAUAGAAAACUCAGGCGCUGCUGGAAGACUGAAGUCGACAGUAUUCAUGGCUUUGUGUGCCUGAUCAAUAUACUGUACUACACAAGUGGGAGAGGCGCUAAGUAUUUUCAACAUUAUUUUUUUCUUCUUUAGUCUCCCCUAAUUAUUUUGGCUUAGCCACGUUUUAACAUUUAUAUAUCUGUAUUUUAUUAAAAUGUUGAAUAGAUGUGUGUGCACAUAUACAUAUAUUUUAGUGUGUACAGUAAUCACGUGACUGAACGUCACAGUCUAGCACUCGAGCGUGUUUAUAGAUCAUUCUUUUGCUGGGGUGCAGCUUACUGCCGAAAACCUCAUAUACACUGUGUUGUUCCCGUGUUAUUAUAUUAAUUAGUCACGCAAGUAUAGCAGGUUUUUCUUCGUAUAACUACUUGGAAAAAUGGAAAUAAUAGUGAAUCCUGGAUACUAAAUUCGUCAAAUACUUGAGUAGAACCAGACCUUGAGGAUCACUGGGACCCAUGUCAACCCGUCGGUGCUGGAGUAUCAAGAGGGUGAGACACAAGACACAGUCUUUGUCCUAUAACAAUGGGAAAGCAGUUUGGAUAUACACCAUCAGUGAGAGUGGUGAAAAGACUGACCCUUCCUGUAAGAGAGGAAAGACAGAACUUCCCUGUAAGAGAGGAAAGACGGACUUCUCCAGUAAGAGAAGCAAGGCAGCACUUUCCCGUUAGGGAGGUGAAAAAUUCUCAAGCUGCCUGGUCAAAAUUAUACGCAGUGUGUAUGAACACUUGCUGUUUUGGUGGAAGGAACAUUUCACCUCAUAGUGGCUUAAUCACUCGCACCGACACCAUUGUCAUCUCCAGGACACUACCCUCAGGGAGUUCUUGCUGACGUGAGUUGAAAUGCUGCCUACUUUAAUAAUGCUGGGCGGUUACAUGGAAAUGGAUAUUUCGUGUCAAAAAAGAUAUAUGAAGUCAAAUUUGUCACACAAAGUGGAUGUGUAAUGAUAAAAUGAAACCACUGUGCUUAUUCUAGGACUGGCAACAGUAAUACGGUAUUCAACUUUUUUCUUUUUUUUUCAUUUAAAAUAUCAGUUUUGCAUAUUUUCGUAUAUCUUCAGUGUAAUAUAUCUGACAGCCAUGCCAUCACUGAAUGUAAAAAGUGUCUUCUAAGUUGACAAUAACAGAGAGUGAAAUUCAAGUGGCUAGGUGCAGAUUUUAAAAUUUUGUGUAAAAUUGUGUGAAAUUUUGACUUUCAUUUACUGAAGCCUUUUCUAAAUAGCUUUAGUAAUUAAUGCCUGAUGCAUCUUAUACCCAGGAUAGUACACAUCCUGCUUAAUUUGACUAUGGACAAAUUUGUCAAAGUAAUAUACAUUUUUAAACUUUGAAUCAUUAAAGCUGUCAUUAAUUGGGCAAUGUUAAAAACAGAAUCUAUUUUAGAGGAUUAUAGAUCUUUUAAAAUGCAAAAAAAAAAAAUUCAAGAAAUAUUGAAAACUCACCCUUUUAUAGUGUUUUUAAAUUUUUCGAGUUGAAUGAUCCUAUAAAUACCGCAUGGCAUGAUGCCAGAGCCGUCCAUCUGUUAGCUACAGCUUCCUCAUACCACUUAAAGCUUUCGUUCAUAAUUUCAGAAUGCCUUAUUCAAUCGGCUUCAGAUUUCAAACCCUGGUCAACCGUUACUAGACAGAGGUUCGUAGAGCAUUUGACUUAGGAUGCCGAUAAAAAGAUCCUCUUUUGAUCGGCAUCAUAAUUUCAGGUAUCUCUGUGUGAUAAACUUAAAUCAUUAUUGGUUAUAAAUUCACAUAUAUACACUAUGCACAUAACAGUGGUACUGGUGGUGGUGAUGGCGGUAAUGAUGUUAAUAUUAGUAAUGAUGACGGACAUAUAUGCACAUGCAUACAUGUAUAUAUAAUACACAUACACAAGUAUGCAUUUAUACAUGUAUAUGUACAUAAAAGUUACAUAAAUUUUCAAUUCAGCAACCCAGUUUCUCAAUUUGUGCAUGGUGUGGCAAAUUUUACUUAUUCGCCACAUCUUUGGUAGGUUCGUCAGGAAAAAGGAAAAGUUUCCUGACGUGGGUCCUAGUCAUAUGAUGACCCGCAGCUGGAGCUUCUGAUCAUCUGACCGAGGCCUUCCACUGGCUUACCGGUCCACCCUUUAAAAAUUAUAGUUAUAAUUAUAACUAUUGGAUAUUUUCGCCACACCUGUGGCUACAUAUAAAUAUAUGUUGCUCACUUCUGGCCUACAUGAAGUGGAACAAUACAGAUAUGUAAAUAAUAAAAAUAAAUACGUAUUUUAAUCAACUAUAAGAUAAAGAGUAUUAAUAAACUAUUCUAAGUUAGUUUUGAUCAA